UACGUAGGCAGCGAGCGUUGUUCGGAGUUACUGGGCGUAAAGAGUGCGUAGGCGGUUUUCUAAGUUUGGUGUGAAAUCUCCCGGCUCAACUGGGAGGGUGCGCCGAAGACUGGAAGGCUUGAGUAUGGGAGAGGUAAGCGGAAUUCCUGGUGUAGCGGUGAAAUGCGUAGAGAUGUGGAGGAACACCGAUGGCGAAGGCAGCCCCCUGGGUCAAGAUUGACGCUCAUGCACGAAAGCGUGGGGAGCAAACAGG
rnacentral:rRNA from 1 species